rnacentral:rRNA from 1 species
UACGUAGGGUGCGAGCGUUAAUCGGAAUUACUGGGCGUAAAGGGUGCGCAGGCGGUUAUAUAAGACAGAUGUGAAAUCCCCGGGCUCAACCUGGGGAACUGCGUUUUGUGACUGUAUGACUAGAGUACGGUAGAGAGGGGGUGGGAAAUUCCUGGUGUAGCAGUGAAAAUGCGUAGAGAUGGGAGGAACACCAGCGGCGAAAG